AACAGCAGCCAUAUCACCCUGCAACUCACAACUGGUAACCCACUGAAGCUAAGCAGGUGUGAGCCUGGUCAGUACCUGGAUGGGAGACCUCCUGGGAAAAACUAAGGUUGCUGCUGGAA
ensembl:rRNA 5S_rRNA 5S ribosomal RNA